ACGCUGGCGGCAGGCCUAACACAUGCAAGUCGAGCGGUAGAGAGAAGCUUGCUUCUCUUGAGAGCGGCGGACGGGUGAGUAAUGCCUAGGAAUCUGCCUGGUAGUGGGGGAUAACGUUCGGAAACGGACGCUAAUACCGCAUACGUCCUACGGGAGAAAGCAGGGGACCUUCGGGCCUUGCGCUAUCAGAUGAGCCUAGGUCGGAUUAGCUAGUUGGUGGGGUAAUGGCUCACCAAGGCGACGAUCCGUAACUGGUCUGAGAGGAUGAUCAGUCACACUGGAACUGAGACACGGUCCAGACUCCUACGGGAGGCAGCAGUGGGGAAUAUUGGACAAUGGGCGAAAGCCUGAUCCAGCCAUGCCGCGUGUGUGAAGAAGGUCUUCGGAUUGUAAAGCACUUUAAGUUGGGAGGAAGGGUUGUAGAUUAAUACUCUGCAAUUUUGACGUUACCGACAGAAUAAGCACCGGCUAACUCUGUGCCAGCAGCCGCGGUAAUACAGAGGGUGCAAGCGUUAAUCGGAAUUACUGGGCGUAAAGCGCGCGUAGGUGGUUUGUUAAGUUGGAUGUGAAAUCCCCGGGCUCAACCUGGGUACUGCAUUCAAACUGACUGACU
rnacentral:rRNA from 1 species